rnacentral:rRNA from 1 species
AACGAACGCUGGCGGCAUGCCUAACACAUGCAAGUCGAACGAUUGCCUUCGGGUGAUAGUGGCGCACGGGUGCGUAACGCGUGGGAAUCUGCCCUUAGGUUCGGAAUAACAGCUGGAAACGGCUGCUAAUACCGGAUGAUAUCGCGAGAUCAAAGAUUUAUCGCCUGAGGAUGAGCCCGCGUUGUAUUAGGUAGUUGGUGGGGUAAAGGCCUACCAAGCCGACGAUCCAUAGCUGGUCUGAGAGGAUGAUCAGCCACACUGGGACUGAGACACGGCCCAGACUCCUACGGGAGGCAGCAGUGGGGAAUAUUGGACAAUGGGCGCAAGCCUGAUCCAGCAAUGCCGCGUGAGUGAUGAAGGCCCUAGGGUUGUAAAGCUCUUUUACCCGGGAAGAUAAUGACUGUACCGGGAGAAUAAGCCCCGGCUAACUCCGUG